rnacentral:rRNA from 1 species
AGUGAACGCUGGCGGUAGGCCUAACACAUGCAAGUCGAACGGCAGCACAGUAAGAGCUUGCUCUUACGGGUGGCGAGUGGCGGACGGGUGAGGAAUACAUCGGAAUCUACUUUUUCGUGGGGGAUAACGUAGGGAAACUUACGCUAAUACCGCAUACGACCUACGGGUGAAAGCAGGGGAUCUUCGGACCUUGCGCGAUUGAAUGAGCCGAUGUCGGAUUAGCUAGUUGGCGGGGUAAAGGCCCACCAAGGCGACGAUCCGUAGCUGGUCUGAGAGGAUGAUCAGACACACUGGAACUGAGACAAGGGCCAGACUCCUACGGGAGGCAGCAGUGGGGAAUAUUGGACAAUGGGCGCAAGCCUGAUCCAGCCAUACCGCGUGGGUGAAGAAGGCCUUCGGGUUGUAAAGCCCUUUUGUUGGGAAAGAAAAGCAGCAGGUUAAUACCCCGCUGUUCUGACGGUACCCAAAGAAUAAGCACCGGCUAACUUCGUG